rnacentral:rRNA from 1 species
UUCAUAUCAAUAAGCGGAGGAAAAGAAACCAACAGGGAUUGCCUCAGUAACGGCGAGUGAAGCGGCAAAAGCUCAAAUUUGAAAUCUAGCACUUUCAGUGUUCGAGUUGUAAUUUGAAGAAGGUAACUUUGGUUUUGGCUCUUGUCUAUGUUCCUUGGAACAGGACGUCACAGAGGGUGAGAAUCCCGUGCGAUGAGAUGCCCAAUUCCAUGUAAAGUGCUUUCGAAGAGUCGAGUUGUUUGGGAAUGCAGCUCUAAGUGGGUGGUAAAUUCCAUCUAAAGCUAAAUAUUGGCGAGAGACCGAUAGCGAACAAGUACAGUGAUGGAAAGAUGAAAAGAACUUUGAAAAGAGAGUGAAAAAGUACGUGAAAUUGUUGAAAGGGAAGGGCUUGAGAUCAGACUUGGUAUUUUGCGUUCCCUUCCUUUUUGGUUGGGUUCCUCGCAGUUUACUGGGCCAGCAUCGGUUUGGAUGGUAGGAUAAUGACAUUGGAAUGUAGCUUUACUUCGGUGAAGUGUUAUAGACUUUGUUGAUACUGCCUAUCUAGACCGAGGACUGCGUCUUUGACUAGGAUGCUGGCGUAAUGAUCUUAAGCCGCCCGUCUUGAAACACGGACCA